rnacentral:rRNA from 1 species
CAAUAGGAUAUAUCAAAGUUGUUGCAGUUGAAAAGCUCGUAGUCGUAUUUUUGGUGGGUAGAAGUCUUUGUAAGCGGUAUGCAAAUAUCGCUUCACUUGGGCCGCCUGCCAUUUUGUGGGCUCAAGUGGCCAUGUUGACGUUUACUCUUCGACAUGGUCGCUCCACUCCGUCACUGAGAGCAAAUUGGAGUGCUCAAAGCAGGCUUUACAGCUUUGAACAUCUUAGCUUGGAAUGACAAAGUAUGACUAUCGUUUCACUUUGUUGGUUAUGAAAUGGAAGUAAUGAUAAAUAGGAACAGUUGCGGGGGUACUCGUACUGGGAAGUCAGAGGUGAAAUUCUUAGAUUUUCCCACGACGAACGACUGCGAAAGCAUUUACCAAGGAUGUUUUCAUUGAUCAAGAACGAAAGUGCGAGGAUCGAAGAUGAUUAGAUACA